rnacentral:lncRNA from 1 species
CCAAUCCAAGCAGUGCAAGAAACGACCACAGCAAUAGCAACAACAAACAACAGGCAAUAUCCAUAAAUCCCAUGCAAGUCAAGGUACAGGGGCUACUACUAGCAUAAUACGAAGAAUGAAAGAAUGCAUAAUAAAGAAUGAAAUAACAAAGGUUAGAAGUCACCGGAUUACGCUUGUAGACCAAGCUGGAAACCAAGCCCAGCAUUGACCGGCGUCCGGGGAGUUCCGGUGCUGAGAUGGAGCUGCGGCUGCUGGAGACCGAGGGAACUGGUCGGAACUGGUCAUCGUUUGGAUGCUGCGGCUGCUGGCUACCGGGCGGCGGGUGCAGACGGAGCGGCGGCUGAAGACAGAGCUUCGGCUGUUGGGCUGUUGUACCCCGCCGGCGC